rnacentral:rRNA from 1 species
CUUUCCGUUCCCGGGACGUAACUAAGCCGAAAGGUUAGCUAAUACCAGAUACGCUCAUCGUGCGGCAUCGCACAAUGAUGAAAGCAGCAAUGCGCGGAUUGAGGAGGCUGCGGCCCAUUAGCUAGUUGGUGAGGUAACGGCCCACCAAGGCGACGAUGGGUAGCUGGUCUGAGAGGACGACCAGCCACACUGGGACUGAGACACGGCCCAG